GUCGUCAUGUCCGCUCCUGCACGGCCAGAGGUGCCUGGGAAGCUCUCGGUUCUCCUGCGAAGGCGCCUGCUUUGCUGCCAGGGGAAGUGGAGGAUCCCGCAGUGAUGGGAGGGAGGAGGUCUCACUGAAGUGGGCUCUGCCUCCUGUGAUUGACGAUUACAUCCUUUAAGACGAAAAGCUGAGACAAAGUCUCUGAUGAGAACGUUUAACACUUUCACUGCUGGAGCACUUCCAAGUGAAACCUCCACGCUGGGAUUUGGUUUCAAGCACUUUCCCCGUCCUUCCUUUCUCGCAGCAAACUACAAAGCAAAGGCAGCCCACAUGUUGGAUCACUGGGAGAAUCACAGCAGCGAUCCUGCGUUGCACUCAGGAUACUUCCUUUCCCCAAGGCUGCUCAAAGAAUUGAAAGCUAAUCACUAUAGAAAGACUAAAGCCGGAACUUUCAUACUUACCUUAUAGUUCACUCCACCCUUCUCAAUGACCUGCUUUAAAUCUUGCCCGCGCCGUACAUCUGUAAAAGAACAUAACAAAGUCGCUUUAAUGGAACAGCACAUUUCUGCAGCUCUACACAACUUGAAGAGUUAAAAGCUCGGGGGGGGGGGUCCAGCUUGGAUCACUCAGCAAUCACAACACCUGGGAAGCAAAGGGCUCUUGAAUAGCACAGAGCAGUUUCCCAGCACAGCACUGAUCAGCAGUGCAGCUGACUGUGCAGCACAGCUGGCCCCAGUUAGCUCUAUUAGAGCCUGAAUAACGCUAUUUCAUGGAUCAUACCUCAAUGAAUGGAUUUGGUAGAUUAGCAUGUGUUUUUUGUCGUUGUACCUUCAUGGGAGAAGUGAGAACACUCCAAGAGAAUAUGUAGUGUUGUCCAAUAUAAACCAUAGCCCCAGGGGAAUCUCCUUGGUCCCCGUGCCUCCAUCUGGCUUAGUAAUGCUAGGUAUACCUGCCAACAAGCCCCCGCAGCUCUAAUAUGACUCUGCAUUUCACCCCAUUGCAAAACAUCCCUGAUCUCCUCAGAUUUCUCAAUCUCUGUGUCACUUUCAUAUUCAUUUCUUUCUUUCCACGUUAUUCCAUAACACCUAAAGAAUCAAUUACAGUGGCUUUAGGGAAAAUCAUUUCCUGUAAAUAACUGGAAAUCCUGGCCACUGAGAGACUCGAGAGGAUUUUGCCCAUUUGCUUUCAUCAAAUGCCAUGGAGAAGCUAACAGCACUGUCCAGAUUUCUUUGCAUUUGCUUUUCAUCUCAGCAGGUCAAACACCUGUGCCUGAGUACCUGGCAAAUAACCCCUGUGCUGCCAAGGAGGAGUCCUGGAAGGGGCAAGAAAGGGAGCAGAGAGCAUCAACUCCCAGACCACUUCUGGAUGUGAAAAGAUAUGGCUGGGAUCCAUUGCAACAAAUAACUCCCAUAGGAAAACCCUUCACACACGCAGGAAUGAAGGCUGAGCCUCCUUCCCUUCCUUGGUGCAGCCUUUACAGCCUUGUUGGUGCUGUUCUCAGCUUUGAGACAUUACACUGCAAAGUCUGCAUUGGCUAUAUCUAAAUUAUACUGUUAAGUUUACAUACUUUAGUAUUUGUUUAAUUAGAACUGCAAUUAUUAACAGAAUUUAUUAACUAAUAAAUAGGCACAAAAUCUUUAUGUUGUUCUUUAUGUUGUUUGGGGUCCCAUUACAUCCUUUUCCAACUCCUCAACUGAGACCGAGUUUGAAAGUCGUUUAACAUCUGAAGUACAGGCAUUACUAAGGCUAACACAAAGACCCCACUCACCUCAUAGACAGUAAUAAAUCACUGAGGGGUACAGAACCUCAAACUGUAAAGGCACAGCAUCACUAUGGAGCGGAGGAGUUGGGAAGAAGUUCCCUUGCAGGCAGCUUACUGCAAAUCAGGAGCAAUCUCAGAGCACUGAGAUCAGUUUGCUGGAGCAGGAUCCAUGGCAGUACAGGGCCAGCAUCGAGGAAACAAGGUUUACUGCCUUGUCUGCAGCAAAAGGAUAGUAUAGGGUUGUUGCAUGGGUUUCUCAAGCACUGGGUUUCCUCCAUGCCUCUUCUUCUUCAGCACAGUUUUCCAUUGGUUGAGGGAAGGACGAGAACAUCACUGGGCAGAAAGCCAGGCAUUUCUGCUCAGUGGACAAAAGCUAUGCUGUUGACCCUCGAUUUAUCACUCUUAUCUUUGGUAAAAUAAACUAAAAGAACUCUAAGCACACACCAUUCUCCAAGCGUUUUCAUGUUAGCGUCCUGACCACCCUUCUUUGCCUUUUGCCUCUGUGCUUUUCAAAUGCCAUUGCAGCACACUCCAGGGGAUGCCUCGUUCUGCUGCUGUUUGUGCCUGCAGUCACUGUGCUCUUACCGUAACAAGAAGUGCAUAUUAUAUUUCUCAACACUAAAGUAAGUUUAAAUCGUUGGAUAAGAAUCUAGGAAAGUUUCCAAAUGCAUGCAGACAAAGCCAAAUUGGAUGCACUUCAUACACUGUUUCCUCUGCCAAUCAUGCUACGAUCCAGAAACAUCCCUUGUCUUUAUAUGAUCAUCACAUAACAAAAAUAGAGGCAGUACUCUAUGAAUUUAGUGUUCAGAUCUUCUAAGAUCUGCAUCAAAAGAUGCAGGCCACAGAUGUUGGUGCUCGUGGUGCACCAGGAAGGAAAACCCUAACCUUUGCAAAUGGCUUUCUUUGCACACAAGCAGAUUUUCUUUACUGAUGGCCAUGAUUCGCUCCCAUGAGAAAGAGAUACUCAGGAAUUGCAAAUCCUGGUACCAAAGAACUUCUCAUUCAUAUACUUGUGACAAGAACUAAACUCAUCAUCUCCCCUAAAUUCACGAAGACCAAACUUAUGUGUCAGCAUUCAAUUCUUCCUAUGACAGAGCAGCCACACUCAAGAUUAGAUUAAAAGUGAAACCUCCUGGUGCAGUAUUUAACUCUUCAGUCUGUUUUGAAGCAAAUCCAGUGGGUAAUGUUUUCUUAAAGACUAAACCUCAUUCGUAGGAUUACUGCAGUAGCUGGGAACACUGGUGCUAGGCAACAAAAGGGAGUCUUCUGUGCAUCCAAAGACACCAGGAGUAAAUGCUGUCUGAACUCUGCUUUGACUAAUUUAGGCAAAAGCUCUAUGGUAGUGAUCACAAAGGAUAUCUCUGGAGGGUAUUAACUUACUUGAAAGCAUUAAACUCACUAAACGAAAGCAUUAAAUAAAAUGCAUUCUAUAAUUAAAUACACACCCGCCUAUGUAUGACAACUUACAUAGCUGCCAUCGUAAGCUUUAUAAGAUCUCAGCAAGACACAGUCUGUGAUAUUAUUCCAGUUGAAUUUUUCUAUCAUUGAGUACAACAAAGCAUUGUCGAAGGCAAAAGGAGUUGCUGUGAUGUUAUAAUGAAGUCAAUAAACAGAGAAUAUGGCUCAAA